rnacentral:rRNA from 1 species
UACGGGGGGGGCAAGCGUUGUUCGGAAUUACUGGGCGUAAAGGGCUCGUAGGCGGCCAACUAAGUCGGACGUGAAAUCCCCAGGCUCAACCUGGGAACUGCGUCCGAUACUGGAUGGCUUGAAUCCGGGAGAGGGAUGCAGAAUUCCAGGUGUAGCGGUGGAAUGCGCAGAUAUCAGGAGGAACACCGGUGGCGAAGGCGGGAUCCUGGGCCAGUACUGACGCUGAGGAGCGAAAGCGUGGGGAGCAAACAGG